rnacentral:rRNA from 1 species
UACGUAGGGGGCGAGCGUUGUCCGGAAUUAUUGGGCGUAAAGGGUGCGUAGGCGGCGCGGUAAGUCGGGUGUGAAAUCUUGGAGCUUAACUCCGAAACUGCAUUCGAUACUGCCGUGCUUGAGGACUGGAGAGGAGACUGGAAUUUACGGUGUAGCGGUGAAAUGCGUAGAUAUCGUAAGGAAGACCAGUGGCGAAGGCGGGUCUCUGGACAGUUCCUGACGCUGAGGCACGAAGGCCAGGGGAGCAAACGGG